rnacentral:rRNA from 1 species
UACGUAGGGUGCGAGCGUUGUCCGGAAUUAUUGGGCGUAAAGAGCUUGUAGGCGGUCUGUCGCGUCGGAUGUGAAAACCCAGGGCUCAACCCUGGGCCUGCAGUCGAUACGGGCAAACUAGAGUGUGGUAGGGGAGACUGGAAUUCCUGGUGUAGCGGUGAAAUGCGCAGAUAUCAGGAGGAACACCGGCGGCGAAGGCGGGUCUCUGGGCCAUAACUGACGCUGAGGAGCGAAAGCGUGGGGAGCGAACAGG